rnacentral:rRNA from 1 species
UAAGGCGGCCAGAGCGGUGAGGUUACACCCGUACCCAUCCCGAACACGGAAGUUAAGCUCACCUGCGUUUGGGCGAGUACUGGAGUGCGCGAGCCUCUGGGAAAAUUCAUUCGCCGCCUCCA